rnacentral:lncRNA from 1 species
GGUGACAGCGUCAGUGCGUAGGGUCAUAACGUUCCAUUUUAAGUAAGCCGAGGGAAGCUACUGUCCCAGGCUGCAGUGGAGUAAAGAGGAGAUGACCAACCAGAGCCUGGAAAGGCAUUUGGAGGUUGGAGGAUGCUGUAGUGAAGCUGAUAAGGAUUGCGGUAUUAACCUAGGAAGGAAGUAGGGGGCGGCUAUUCAGGACAAAAGAUCGAGGGGCACAGAGAAGUGGCUGUGGACUCGGGGUCAGGCGGCAGAAAGCAGCUGGUGCAGUCUGAGUCUGCUCAGGAGGACAGGGCUGAAAUGAAGACUUUAUGAGCCCUCUAGGGGGCGCUAUAACCUCAGCAUAAGGAGAAGGACUGGGUAGUGCUCUAGACACGGCUGACGGCUGCACUCAUGUACUGUGAACAGGAGGGGUUUGGCUGUGGUUGCUUGCACAAGACCUGCACAAGACCACACCGAUCAAUGUUCAGGAAAUCACACUGAGUGACUUGAAUUCAUCUAGCAUUCCAGGGAAAAAUCCAAUUGGUCAUUGUGGUGUUUAAUCUUUAUUGUCAACUUGAUAGAUUUUGAGUUGCCAUGGAACAAACCUCUGAGCAUAUCUAUGAGAAACUUCUACAUUAGGCUAAUCGAGAUGGGAAGACUCAUCUUAAAUGU